CUUGUUCGAUACUUACCAUAACGACUCCCGGCAACGGAUAUCUCGGCUCUCGCAUCGAUGAAGAACGUAGCGAAAUGCGAUACAUGGUGUGAAUUGCAGGAUCCCGUGAACCAUCGAGUUUUUGAACGCAAGUUGCGCCCGAAGCCGUUAGGCCGA
rnacentral:rRNA from 1 species